UACGUAGGGGGCUAGCGUUGUCCGGAAUCAUUGGGCGUAAAGAGCGUGUAGGCGGUUCGGUAAGUCUGCUGUGAAAGUCCAGGGCUCAACCCUGGAAUGCCAGUGGAAACUGCCGAGCUAGAGUCCGGAAGAGGCGAGUGGAAUUCCUGGUGUAGCGGUGAAAUGCGCAGAUAUCAGGAGGAACACCAAUGGCGAAGGCAGCUCGCUGGGACGUGACUGACGCUGAGACGCGAAAGCGUGGGGAGCGAACAGG
rnacentral:rRNA from 1 species